rnacentral:rRNA from 1 species
UACGUAGGGCGCAAGCGUUAUCCGGAAUUAUUGGGCGUAAAGAGCUCGUAGGCGGUUUGUCGCGUCUGCCGUAGAAAGUCCGGGGCUCAACGUCCGGAUCUGCGGUGGGUACGGGCAGACUAGAGUGAUGUAGGGAGACUGGAAUUCCUGGUGUAGCGGUGAAAUGCGCAGAUAUCAGGAGGAACACCGAUGGCGAAGGCAGGUCUCUGGGCAUUAACUGACGCUGAGGAGCGAAAGCAUGGGGAGCGAACAGG